rnacentral:rRNA from 1 species
AUGAACGCUAGCUACAGGCUUAACACAUGCAAGUCGAGGGGCAUCAGGAAGAAAGCUUGCUUUCUUUGCUGGCGACCGGCGCACGGGUGAGUAACACGUAUCCAACCUGCCCUUUACUCGGGGAUAGCCUUUCGAAAGAAAGAUUAAUACCCGAUNGUAUAAUNAUUCCGCAUGGUUUGAUUAUUAAAGGAUUCCGGUAAAGGAUGGGGAUGCGUUCCAUUAGGUUGUUGGUGAGGUAACGGCNCACCAAGCCUUCGAUGGAUAGGGGUUCUGAGAGGAAGGUCCCCCACAUUGGAACUGAGACACGGUCCAAACUCCUACGGGAGGCAGCAGUGAGGAAUAUUGGUCAAUGGGCGCGAGCCUGAACCAGCCAAGUAGCGUGAAGGAUGACUGCCCUAUGGGUUGUAAACUUCUUUUAUAUUAGAAUAAAGUGCAGUAUGUAUACUGUUUUGUAUGUAUAAUAUGAAUAAGGAUCGGCUAACUCCGUGCCAGCAGCCGCGGUAAUACGGAGGAUCCGAGCGUUAUCCGGAUUUAUUGGGUUUAAAGGGAGCGUAGGUGGACUGGUAAGUCAGUUGUGAAAGUUUGCGGCUCAACCGUAAAAUUGCAGUUGAUACUGUCAGUCUUGAGUACAGUAGAGGUGGGCGGAAUUCGUGGUGUAGCGGUGAAAUGCUUAGAUAUCACGAAGAACUCCGAUUGCGAAGGCAGCUCACUGGACUGCAACUGACACUGAUGCUCGAAAGUGUGGGUAUCAAACAGGAUUAGAUACCCUGGUAGUCCACACAGUAAACGAUGAAUACUCGCUGUUUGCGAUAUACAGUAAGCGGCCAAGCGAAAGCAUUAAGUAUUCCACCUGGGGAGUACGCCGGCAACGGUGAAACUCAAAGGAAUUGACGGGGGCCCGCACAAGCGGAGGAACAUGUGGUUUAAUUCGAUGAUACGCGAGGAACCUUACCCGGGCUUAAAUUGCAGUGGAAUGAUGUGGAAACAUGUCAGUGAGCAAUCACCGCUGUGAAGGUGCUGCAUGGUUGUCGUCAGCUCGUGCCGUGAGGUGUCGGCUUAAGUGCCAUAACGAGCGCAACCCUUAUCUUCAGUUACUAACAGGUCAUGCUGAGGACUCUGGAGAGACUGCCGUCGUAAGAUGUGAGGAAGGUGGGGAUGACGUCAAAUCAGCACGGCCCUUACGUCCGGGGCUACACACGUGUUACAAUGGGGGGUACAGAAGGCAGCUACCUGGUGACAGGAUGCUAAUCCCAAAAGCCUCUCUCAGUUCGGAUCGAAGUCUGCAACCCGACUUCGUGAAGCUGGAUUCGCUAGUAAUCGCGCAUCAGCCACGGCGCGGUGAAUACGUUCCCGGGCCUUGUACACACCGCCCGUCAAGCCAUGGGAGCCGGGGGUACCUGAAGUACGUAACCGCAAGGA